AAUAUGAAUAUAUAUAUAUAUAUAUAUAUAUAUAUAUAUAUAUAGCGUCUGUAGGUGGCUUUUUAAGUCCGCCGUCAAAUCCCAAGGCUCAACCCUGGACAGGCGAUGGAAACUACAAAGCUGGAGUAUGGUAGGGGCAAAGGGAAUAUCCAGUGGAGCGGUGAAAUGCGUAGUGAUCGAAAAGAACAGCAACGGCGAAAGCACUCUGCUGGGCAGACACUGACACUGAGAGACGAAAGAUAGGGAAGCAAAUGGGAUUAGAUACCCCAUAGUCCUAGCCGUAAACGAUGGAUACUAGGCGUUGUGCGUAUCGAUCCAUGCAGUGUUGUAGCUAACGCGUUAGGUAUCCCGCCCGGGGAGUACAUUCGCAAGAAUGAAACUCAAAGGAAUUGAUGGGGGCCUGCACAAACGGUGGAGCAUGUAGUUUAAUUCGAUACAACACGCAAAACCUUACCAGGGCUUGACAUGCUCCGAAUCCUCUUGAAAGAGAGGGGUGCCUUCGAGAACACAGACACAGGUGGUGCAUGGGUGUCGUCAGCUCGGGUUGUAAGGUGUUGGGUUAAGUCCCGUAACGAGCGCAACCGUCGUGUUUAGUUUCCAUUGUUGAGUUUGGAACCCUGAACAGACUGCCGGCGAUAAGCCGGAGGAAGGUGAGGAUGAUGUCAAGUCAUCAUGCCCCUUAUGCCCUGGGCGACACACGUGCUACAAUGGUCGGGACAAUGGGUCGUGAUCCCGCGAGGGUGAGCUAACCCCCAAAACCCGUCCUCAAUUUGGAUUGCAGGCUGCAACUCGCCUGCAUGAAGCCGAAAUCGCUAGUAAUCGCUGGUCAGCCAUACGGCGGUGAAUUCGUUCCCGGGCCUUUGUACACACCGCCCGUCCACUAUGCAUACAUACAUACAUACAUACAUACAUACAUACAUAUAUAUAUAUAUAUAUAUAUAAACCUUCAAU
rnacentral:rRNA from 1 species